UUGUUGCUGGCUUGUUUAAUGUGUCUCCUUUCCCUUUUUAAUCAUAAUUUUGCUUUCUGUAUGGUAUAAUGAAUUACAUGAGGAUAUAAUGGAUCAUAAGCUUCAAAAGAGGAGAUUUAAGCAUAAACAUCCAUGCUUAUUUUACGUUCAUACAAAUGAGUAACUAGAAUUAUCAUGUGGAUAUGCAUUUGGAUGAAUUAUUUAUUCUUAUUGCUUUAUAUAUGGGCGACUCUUUGUUUCCAUGUUUGGUGAAUUGUUGCAAGAUGCAGUAGGCCACUAAGCAGAAAUUUUAGGUAAUACUUAAGUUUCUCCAAAACAGAUAAUAACUUGGACUGUGUUUUUGAGAGAUUAACAAGUCCUUGUUUAAGAAAAAAAAAUCAUUUUAAUGCUCUUUGGAAUGCAAAAAAUAAAAAUAAAAACAAAAAA
rnacentral:misc_RNA from 1 species